rnacentral:rRNA from 1 species
AAUAUUGCACAAUGGGCGCAAGCCUGAUGCAGCGACGCCGCGUGAGCGAAGAAGGUUUUCGGAUCGUACAGCUCUGUCCUCUGGGAAGAAAAAAAUGACGGUACCAGAGGAGGAUGCCCCGGCUAACUACGUCCCAGCCCCCGCGGUAAUUCGUAGGGGGCUAGCGUUGUCCGGAUUUACUGGGGGUAAAGGAUGAGUAGGGGGUAACGUGGGUCAGAUGUUUAAUCUAUGGGCUCAACCCAUAUCAGCAUUUGAAACUACGUAACUUGAGUGCAGGAGAGGUAAGUGGAAUUCCUAGUGUAGCGGUGGAAUGCGUAGAUAUUAGGAGGAACACCAGUGGCGAAGGCGACUUACUGGACUGCAACUGACGCUGAGUCACGAAAGCGUGGGGAGCAAACAGG